GCGGGUUUAACUCAAUGGUAGAGUGCUUGCUUCCCAGGCAGGAAGUUGCAAGUUCGAGUCUUGUAACCCGCUCCA
rnacentral:tRNA from 1 species